rnacentral:tRNA from 1 species
CGCGGGGUGGAGCAGUUCGGUAGCUCGUCGGGCUCAUAACCCGAAGGUCGUAGGUUCAAAUCCUAUCCCCGCAACCA